GCUGGUGUCAUCUAAUGGCAGGAUUCUUGUUUUCCAAACAAGCAGUGCGAGUCCGAACCUCGUCACCGGCU
rnacentral:tRNA from 1 species